rnacentral:lncRNA from 1 species
AUGCCCAUAAGUUCAGAUUUGCUCCAACCAAUCAGAAGACAGAUAGCAUUUGCGGCUCUGAAUUAUGACCAAUCAGGAGGCAGGUGUCAUGGAGGAGGUGGGACACAGAGUGGACGCGACCAAUCAGUGCACAGGUGGCUGAGCAGGCGUUCCUCCGGGUCUGGGGGCCACGUUGUCAUGGCAGGUGCGAGGACUCGCUGGGCCCCUGCCCUGCGUCUCUGCAGAGUCCAGCGCGGGGCGCCCGCGGACCUUGCUCGCUCGCAGCCACCUCCGCAUUUUCCGAGGAGGCCUGAGGGACACCCGCGUGCCGCGGCCCCAGGCCUCUGCUGCACCAGAGGCCAUGCGCGGGGCCGUGGGAAGCAGGACACGGAGGGGCGGCGCCGUCCGCGCGAGGCUUGCUCAGAAGGCCCCACCAGGAAAAGGAGUUUAAAGACCGGCCGCUGGGCUGCAGCGUCACUCAGAGGCCCCUGCCCGUCCGUGCUCGCCCCCGCUGCCUGCCUCUCUCCGGCUCUCUGUCCCUGUCUCUCUCUGUCCCUGUCUCUCUCUCUCUCUUCAUCUGUCCCUGUCUCUCUCUCUCUCUCUAUCCCCAUCUGUCUCUCUGUCUCUCUCUCUCUUCAUCUCUCUCUGUCUCUGUCCCUGUCUCUCUCUCCCUGUCUGUCUCCCUGUCCCUGUCCAUCUCUCUGUCUCUCUCUCUCCCCGCCUGUCUCUGUCCCUGUCUCUCUCUCUCCCCCAUCUGUCUCUCUGUCUCUCUCUCUCCCCGUCUGUCUCUCUGUCUCUCUCUCUCUUCAUCUCUCUCUGUCUCUGUCCCUGUCUCUCUCUCUCUUUCUUUGUGUGUGUCUGUCUCUCCCCGUCUGUCUCCCUGUCCCUGUCCAUCUCUGUCUCUCUUUCAUCUCUCUCUGUCUCUCUCUCUCUUUGUCUCUCUGUCUUUGUCUCUCUAUCUCUCUCCCUCUCUCUCUCUCUCCCCAUCUGUCUCUGUCCCUGUCUCUCUCUCCCCGUCUCUCUCUCUGUCUCUCUCCCUCUCUUUCUCUCUCUCUCUCUCUCUCUCUCUCACACACACACACACACGCACACACACGUGGUCUUCCACCCCCACGUUUUAUGUUCUGA